rnacentral:lncRNA from 1 species
CUUUAGUUACCGUGGGUAAAUAAUAUCAUUCACAACCCUAACGAUACCGCAUUCGAUUUUUUUUUAAUUUUUUUCUUUCGAUUACCUCUAAUUAACAACGUCUAGUAUAAGAACGGCAUUCGAACAUUGAGUCAAAAUCCUAGAAGUGUGUAUGAAUUGUUGUCAGUGAGUUGUUACAUGUUUGUUGAUAACUUUGUAAGUCUAGGAGGACCGUGAUUGAAGAGUAGAGUUGAAAUAUUAUAGUAACAGUAAUGUUCACAUUGUCACCUAGUGACUAAAGAAAUUAUGGUCAAUCAUCGUUAAAGUAAAUCUAAACGUGAGAAGUAUCAUUUUAAAGGGAAAAUGCCUAUUUAGUAUUAAUUCAAACCCCUUAUUUCUCAUUCUAAUGAUAAUCUUUUGCAUUAGCCCAUUCCAAUAUAAGGUAACCAUUUUUAUGCCCAAAUGCACAAAUCUUUACUAAAAUCUUAACAAACCAUAUUAUUUUAAGACUAUUUUGCCCCCACCUCUUCAACAUGAAAAGACUUGGCCGGAACCUCGGACUCCUGUCACCGGCCGCCGGACACCGGACUCCGGUCACCGACCGCCGGAUUCCGGUCACCGGAAUUUCCCCAACCGCCGGAUUCCGGUCACUGAAAUUUCCCCAACCGCCGGAUUUCGGUCACCGGAUUUUCCUCUGUAACCAGUUACUGACCCCCAAUAAUCAGUUACUGACCAGUUAAUGACCCAUAAUAACUAGUUACUAACCCCCAGUAACCAGUUACUGACCCCCAAUAACUUUUAGUUUUCAGUUACUGACACCCAGUAAUCACUUAGUUUUCAGUUACUGACCCCUAAUAAUUUUGGUUACUGACCGGAGAGGAGAGAACUGAGGAACCGGCCCGACGGUGAGCACCCACAUUUCUUCUCUGGGCACCCACCUUCCCCGACGGUGAGCACACCGGCCUCCUCCACCGACCCCGGCGCACGCCGGCAAGCAACGACCUUCCAGGGGAGUAGGAGAAGCGGUGAGGCAGCUUAGAGUUGGUUUCCAGGGCUGUGCGGUUGCGGGUGAUUUUGCGGAAGCAGACGAGGAGGAAGAGGAGGAGGGAGAAGGCGGUGGUGGCGGCGCCGGCGAGUGGGACGACGAGGUUGGGCUGCGGCAGAAGAGACGACGGCGACGGCGCCGGGGACCGGGUGAUUGGGCGCUGCAGAAGGUGGAUCGGGAAGAGAAGGUGGCCGGAGUUGCGGAAGCAUUCGAGGAGGAAGAAGAGGAGGGAGAAGGCGGUGGUGGCAGCGCUGGCGAGUGGGACGACGAGGUUGGGCUGCGACAGAAGAGACGACGGAGACGACGCCAGGGACCGGGUGAUUAGGCGCGGUAGAAGGUGGAUCGGGAAGAGAAGGUGGUCGGAGGAGAUGAAGUAGCGGUGCUUGUGUGGGCAGCUAGCGUCGGAGGAGGAGGAGGAAGAGGAGGAGGAGGAGGAGAGAGAGAGAGAGAGAGAGAGAGAGAGAGAGAGAGAGAGAGAGAGAGAGAGAGUA